AUACUACUAGUAUAAAUUUAUUAUAUCACUUUUCCAAAGUGGGGGUCUACAUGAUUGUAGGUGGUGUA
rnacentral:tRNA from 1 species